AGUGAACGCUGGCGGUAGGCCUAACACAUGCAAGUUGAACGGCAGCACAGUAAGAGCUUGCUCUUACGGGUGGCGAGUGGCGGACGGGUGAGGAAUACAUCGGAAUCUACUUUUUCGUGGGGGAUAACGUAGGGAAACUUACGCUAAUACCGCAUACGACCUACGGGUGAAAGCAGGGGAUCUUCGGACCUUGCGCGAUUGAAUGAGCCGAUGUCGGAUUAGCAAGUUGGCGGGGUAAAGGCCCACCAAGGCGACGAUCCGUAGCUGGUCUGAGAGGAUGAUCAGCCACACUGGAACUGAGACACGGUCCAGACUCCUACGGGAGGCAGCAGUGGGGAAUAUUGGACAAUGGGCGCAAGCCUGAUCCAGCCAUACCGCGUGGGUGAAGAAGGCCUUCGGGUUGUAAAGCCCUUUUGUUGGGAAAGAAAAGCAGCAGGUUAAUACCCCGCUGUUCUGACGGUACCCAAAGAAUAAGCACCGGCUAACUUCGUG
rnacentral:rRNA from 1 species